UUAUUUGUGCAAGAAAAGUUGGUGAAUGCAAGUGUGAGUUGCUAAGUAACUGGGGUGGGGUUUAUGGUGAAGUUGCCAGGGAAGAGGAGAACUCUACAGAGCUUCUACAAAGAUUUCAGAGAGAUAGGCGGAUACUAUUGAAUUUCAUUCUUUCAGGAAGCUUAAUCAAGAAAGUGGUAAUGCCUCCCGGAGCUGUUUCCUUGGCUGAUGUGGAUCUUGAUCAACUCGUUGAUUUUGUCCUUAAUUGUGCAAGAAAAGGCGAACUCCUUGAACUAUCUGACAGCAAUCUGUUCCCUCAUAUGGUAAAUUCGGAUUUGCACAUUCAUUAUUAUAUGUUCAAUGGUCAUUAUUUAUGAAUGUUCUUGUUCGGGAUUGCAAAUACAUUGAUUUCUGUUCAAUAUUUACUAUUUGUGAAUGUUCCAUUUACCGAGGCUUAUCUAUUGCAGCUUAGAAUUAUUUUCAUAUGGGGUUGUUGUGUAGCAAUUUUUCCUAUCCCAAAACAUUAUUUAGUGUGUUCUAUGCACAUCAAUGUUUAUUUUCAUUCUUCAACGCUUUCCUUUUUGUAUUAAGAGUAAUGCAGGUUCAAAUGAUGAAUUCUUUCUAGCUACAAAUCCUGAACUAUCGGGUUUGCCUCCAAGAAGAUUACCCCCGCCUGUCCCUAUUUCCACACCAUCACCAAUUUUGCCAACACUCUCCACAUCAGAAUCAAUUGACUGAACCAUUUGAAGAGCUGUCCAGUUUAUCCAAAUCUCAGUCUCUCAGUUCCACACAACAACAAGAGUUUAACAAUGCUGCUGCUGAUCUUGUGCUUGGAUUGUCGUCAUUUGCUACUGGGAAGCAUGCUUAUUAUAGGUGUAUAUGUGUAUGGUGGACCUGUAACUUCUGCUAUCAUAAGUGUGACCAUUUCAUUUUUGCAGUAUUAGGUUGUAAUUUGCUUCUUUUUUUAGCUCUAAGGUGCUAUAUCUAUAGUACUGGUUAUACCAGAGAAAUAAAAGAUGGAGGGAGAGUAAUGGUUACCAUUUUCAAAAAAAAAAAAAAAGACCGGGAGAGUAAGAGUACUUUGAUAUUUUUCUCUGGUUCUAUAUUUGUACUAAUGGUAACUUUGUGCUUAGGAUGCUGGCACAUGACUAGGAAGCUAUUAACAACAUUGAUGCAGAUGUAUCGUAUAACUGCUCUAGUUAAGGAAACUCUUUCUGGGCUUCUUUAUUUAUUUUUAUAAUGGAGUAACUAGGGUGACAUAAUUUUGCCAAAUUUAUAUGGGGCAGUUCCAAGUGAAAGAUUGUGUUGCCAGUAAAUUAAGCUUCUUGGAUUUAUUGUCUUCUGACCUCGGCAUUCUCACUGCUCAGAACCUUUUUAUUGGUUGGUAGCGGGAUGGUUUUGCUAAGAAAGCUUCCAUGUGUCAUGCUCAAUAUUUUACAUAGUGAAUCUGGUGUUUUUCUUUGCCUUUUCUUGUUUUAAGUAUAGAUUGAGACUGUGUCUGGGACAUUGGUACUACGAUGGGUGAAUUCACAACUUGCAAGGAUUUUGAAUUGGGUUGACCGGGAUAUUCAGCAGGAGCGGUGGGUACCGGUUUCACCUCAACAAAGGCAUGGAAGUUCCAUUGUUGAAGUCUACAGGAUUGUGGAAGAGCUAAUAAGGAAGAUAUUGUUCCACCUGUGCCUAUUUUGACGAGAUACUCAAGGGAAAGUGGAAUUAAGGCAUUUGUAAAGAAGGAGUUGAAGGAUACAAGGAUACCAGAUGUCUUGAAGUCUGUUGAAAUUGACGUAGCGGCAACAUCAACGCUUUGUGUGCUGUUGAGAAUAGCCUUCAUGUUAGUAACUUCUACUUUCCCUCUUUUUAUGUAUGAUAACAUCUCAAGCUGUUAAUCAUUUGCUCUCGUAUGUUUCACGUUCGCCCCUUUAUUAUUGAAUCUAAAGGGUGUAUUUCUCUGCACUGGUUUGAUUGGAAAAUCAUGGCUCUGGCCUCUGGCUAGUUUCAUUAGCUUGAAGCUGGACUUUAGAUGCUCUACUUCAUAGUUUGUGCACAAUUCUGUUUUACUUUGAUUAGGCGAUUGCAAAUCUUGUGCGCAUGAUAAGUCAUUUGUUUUAACUUAAUACAGACACUGAUCAACUCAGAGCUUGUACUAUGACCUCUGUUUAGCAAUUUAAAACUAAGAAACUAACUUCCAAAUUUGCUCUUCCCAUGAAUAAUGGUUGCCAAUAUUACAAAUUUUCUAAUUUUCUCUGUUUCAAAAAUAUAUUUCAAAUUUUCUGCCUUUUCUGUUGACAUUAAUUCCAUCUAGGAUAUUAUUUCGUUUAAGUUAACAGUACAGGAAAGUUGUAUCUAAAAACUAGUUGAUGUUUUUGGAUUAGGGGUUGCUAUGCUUGUUCGAAGGCUUCUUCUACCUACCUUUUCUGGUGAACUAUUUUAAGUUAGUUCUGGUAAAAAAAAUCAUAUGUUAUAUAUGCUGUCUGUGCAUUCACUAUAAACCAUAGGAUUCACAUACAUGGACACUUACAAAUAAUAUUAUUGUAUUAUACGACUUAGAUGUUUAUGCAGGCAAUGGAGUUUGCAACAAUAUCAGAUAAUGAGCAGGUAGAGUUCUACAUGACAUUUUCAAUCAAAAAUGCAUUUACAAGGGUAAAGAAUUGUUACCCUUAUAUAAUUACUGCUGUUGAAAUCUUUCUAUAUGUUGGGAUAAUGCUUGUUCAAAGACUAGUUUAAUUAGAUUCUUCCAGUGUUCUAAAAGGCGAUUGCCUCGUCGCCAAUGGCGAGAGGCGAGGCAAGGUAACCGUUCAUUGCCUUUUAGUUUUGUGGCGAGGCGAUCUUCAAAAGACGACGCCAUGGCGACAAAGGCGAGAGGCUAGAAAGGUGUCGCCUUUUGUAUUUUCUUUAAAAAGGUGACCAAUUUAGGGUUUUAAAAGUUGAAAUGUAAUUUUAGGAUUUUCGACUAGACUCUUAAGGCUACUAGCUAGACUUUUUUGGCGACUCCAAAGUCCAACCAAUACGCAUUUCUUCUA